AACGAACGCUGGCGGCAUGCCUAACACAUGCAAGUCGAACGAGACCUUCGGGUCUAGUGGCGCACGGGUGCGUAACGCGUGGGAACCUGCCCUUAGGUUCGGAAUAACUCCCCGAAAGGGGUGCUAAUACCGGAUAAUGUCUUCGGACCAAAGAUUUAUCGCCUUUGGAUGGGCCCGCGUUGGAUUAGCUAGUUGGUAGGGUAAAAGCCUACCAAGGCGACGAUCCAUAGCUGGUCUGAGAGGAUGAUCAGCCACACUGGGACUGAGACACGGCCCAGACUCCUACGGGAAGCAGCAGUGGGGAAUAUUGGACAAUGGGCGAAAGCCUGAUCCAGCAAUGCCGCGUGAGUGAUGAAGGCCUUAGGGUUGUAAAGCUCUUUUACCCGGGAUGAUAAUGACAGUACCGGGAGAAUAAGCUCCGGCUAACUCCGCG
rnacentral:rRNA from 1 species